rnacentral:rRNA from 1 species
AUUGAACGCUGGCGGCAGGCCUAACACAUGCAAGUCGCACGAGUGGCGGACGGGUGAGUAAUGUCUGGGAAACUGCCCGAUGGAGGGGGGUAACUACUGGAAACGGUAGCUAAUACCGCAUACCAUCGGAUGUGCCCAGAGGGGGUUAGCUUGUAGGUGAGGUGACGGCUCACCUAGGCGACGAUCCCUAGCUGGGCUGAGAGGAUGACCAGGUACCCUGGAACUGGUGCACGGUCCCGCGUCCUACGGGAGGAAGCAGGGGGGAAUGUGGGACUAGGGGCGAAAGCCUGAUGCAACCAUGCCGCGUGUAUGAAGAAGGCCUUCGGGUUGUAAAGUACUUUCAUCGGUGAGGCGUGACCCGCAGAAGAAGCACCGGCUAACUCCGUGCCAGCAGCCGCGGUAAUUC